UACAGAGGGUGCGAGCGUUUGUCCGGAAUCACUGGGCGUAAAGGGCGCGUAGGCGGCUUGAUAAGGUUGCGGUGAAAGCCCGGGGCUCAACCCCGGGUCGGCCGUGGCAACUGUCGAGCUGGAGCACUGUAGAGGCAGGUGGAAUUCCGGGUGUAGCGGUGGAAUGCGUAGAGAUCCGGAAGAACACCGGUGGCAAAGGCGGCCUGCUGGGCAGUGGCUGACGCUGAGGCGCGACAGCGUGGGGAGCAAACAGG
rnacentral:rRNA from 1 species